rnacentral:lncRNA from 1 species
UCUGUAGUAAUGUGGCUACAGCUCUGUCAGCACUCAUGGAAAUGGGCAACAAUAAACAGGCAACAAUGGCAUGCGAACGGCAAGACUUGCCUGCUCUGCGAGCAUG